GAAAGAAGAAGAGAGACGUGAUCAUCUUGGUGAUUUACGUUGUUGAUUCGGUCAAUUUUUAUUUGCCACGAUCGAUUUCUUAAUAGCUAGCAAAACUUGCUAGUUACUUGGAGAUGAAGAAAUCCUGAAGAAGAACACGUUGUUCAUGUCACGCACUACAAAAGAUGGCAUAAACAAACGAUUUACUUUGGUAAGAAAAAAAACCAUAUGGUUAUGUUUGGUUUUUAACCGGUCUUCAUGUGGUUUUCGUUUAACAACGAAAAGGAUGGAAGCCACGAAGAUGAUUCUAACGGAUACGAUG
rnacentral:lncRNA from 1 species